UACGUAGGGAGCAAGCGUUGUCCGGAAUCAUUGGGCGUAAAGCGCGCGUAGGUGGCUUCAUAAGUCCGGUGUGAAAGUCAAAGGCUCAACCGUUGAAAGCCGAUGGAUACUGUGGAGCUAGAGUACGGAAGAGGCGAGUGGAAUUCCUGGUGUAGCGGUGGAAUGCGCAGAUAUCAGGAGGAACACCAAUAGCGAAGGCAGCUCGCUGGGACGUUACUGACACUGAGGCGCGAAAGCGUGGGGAGCGAACAGG
rnacentral:rRNA from 1 species